GUCUGCUAGUUCAAGUGAAGGGAAAUUUUCAUGCUGCAGCAUCCAAAAACAUUCUGCCUUCUGGUUUUAAGAAGAACCAUAUAUGAGUGGGAAAGUCGGGUGUCCCAAUACUUUUGACCACACCGUGUAUAUCACUCUUUUUAUAUUUGCCCAUGAAAUCGGAAUGCAGGUGGAGGCAACUGUUUUUUUAUUUUAUUUCCACUUUAUAGCCAUAAACUGUAAUAGCAGCUCUUCUCACACACACACACACACACACACACACACACACACACACACACACACACACGGCAAUCUCUUACCGAUUCAGCCAAAGGCAAGAGAGAUAAAGAGAGAGAAGAAAAACAAGAGGAAGGAAAAGAACAAUAAACGAAAAGAAAUAGAAGAAAAUAGAAAGAGGGAUGAAACAUAUAUGAGAAGAAGAAGAGGAAGAGGAAGAAGAAGUUUGUGCAGAGCUCUGGAGCCGAGGAGUUGGGAGACAGAAUAGAAAAAAAAAGGAAAAGAAAAGAAAAGAUGAGAAAGUACUGCAUUAUUGCUACAGCAGGGAAAUCAUUUACAUAAACAGGACAUGAUUGUACUAAUUACAGGAUGCAGCUCAUUAAUAAUGUAGUGAAGCCCCACCCCCUUUGUCUGAUUUGAUCAUGUGAUUUACAUUUACAUUUAUGCCAUUUGGCAGACACCCUUAUCCAGAGCCACGUACAACUCUUAGUGGUGCAGGGAUUUGACCAUGUGACCUUCUGAUCCAGAGUCAAACACCUUAACCACUGAGCUUGAACUUUUCAAACAGCAUUUGUCAGAAGCCCAUAUCCAGAGCGACUUACAUUUAUCUCAUUCACCUGAGCAGCUAUGGGCAUAAGGGCCUUGCUCAGGAGGUCAUAGUGGUGCUACCUUAUGAGGUGAGGAGGUGUUGGUGGUGCUCGGUCAGGAGGUGUUGAGGAGGUAUUGGUGGUGCUUGGUCAGAAGGUGCUGAGGGGUUGUUGGUGGUGUUUGUUUAGGAGGUGUUGAGGAGGUAUUGGUGGUGCUUGGUCAGGAGGUGUUGGUGGUGCUUGGUCAGGAGGUGUUAAGAAGGUGUUGGUGGUGCUUGUUCAGGAGGUGUUAAGAAGGUGUUGGUGGUGCUUGGUCAGGAGGUGUUGAGGAGGUGUUGGUGGUGCUUGUUCAGGAGGUGUUAAGAAGGUGUUGGUGGUGCUUGGUCAGGAGGUGUUGAGGAGGUGUUGGUGGUGCUUGUUCAGGAGGUGUUAAGAAGGUGUUGGUGGUGCUUGGUCAGGAGGUGUUGAGGGGUUGUUGGUGGUGUUUGUUUAGGAGGUGUUGAGGAGGUAUUGGUGGUGCUUGGUCAGGGGUGUUGAGGUGUUGUUUGUUUAGGAGGUGUUGAGGAGGUAUUGGUGGUGCUUGGUCAGGAGGUGUUGGUGGUGCUUGGUCAGGAGGUGUUAAGAAGGUGUUGGUGGUGCUUGGUCAGGAGGUGUUGAGGAGGUGUUGGUGGUGCUUGUUCAGGAGGUGUUAAGAAGGUGUUGGUGGUGCUUGGUCAGGAGGUGUUGAGGAGGUGUUGGUGGUGCUUGUUCAGGAGGUGUUAAGAAGGUGUUGGUGGUGCUUGGUCAGGAGGUGUUGGUGGUGCUUGGUCAGGAGGUGUUGAGGAGGUGUUGGUGGUGCUUGUUCAGGAGGUGUUAAGAAGGUGUUGGUGGUGCUUGGUCAGGAGGUGUUGAGGAGGUGUUGGUGGUGCUUGGUCAGG